GACGUAGGUGGCAAGCGUUGUUCGGAAUCACUGGGCAUAAAGCGCACGUAGGUGGCUGGGUCAGUCGGAUGUGAAAUACCUCGGCUUAACCGAGGAACUGCGUCCGAUACUGCCCGGCUUGAGGUCCGGAGGGGAGAGUGGAAUUCCCGGUGGAGCGGUGAAAUGCGUAGAGAUCGGGAAGAACGCCGGCGGCGAAAGCGACUCUCUGGUCGGAUCCUGACACUGAGGUGCGAAAGCUAGGGGAGCAAACGGG
rnacentral:rRNA from 1 species